ensembl:snRNA U1 U1 spliceosomal RNA
GUGCUUACCUGGCAGGGUAGACACCAUGAUCACAAAGGUGGUUUUCCCACACGAGGCUCACCCAGUGCACUCCGGCUGUGCUGACCCCGGCGAUUUCCAUAAAUGCAGGGAAACUCGACUGCAUACUUUGUGUUCAUGGGGGCGCUGUGUUCACGCUCUCCCCUG